rnacentral:tRNA from 1 species
GCAUGAGAAGCGAAGUAUCGCAUUCGGUUUCGGCCCGUACCUUGGAGAAUAAUUCUUCCUCGUGCU